GACGAACGCUGGCGGCGUGCUUAACACAUGCAAGUCGAACGGAGUGGCGAACGGGGGAGUAACACGUGGGUGACCUGCCCUGCACUUCGGGAUAAGCCUGGGGAACUGGGUCUAAUACCGGGUAGUGUGGGAUGGGCCCGCGGCCUAUCAGCUUGUGGGUGGGCUAAUGGCCUACCAAGGCGGCGACGGGUAGCCGGCCUGAGAGGGUGGACGGCCACAUUGGGACUGAGACACGGCGCAGACGCCUACGGGAGGCAGCAGGGGGGAAUAUUGCACAAUGGGCGGAAGCCUGAGGCAGAGACGCUGCGUGGGGGAUGACGGCCUUCGGGUUGUAAACUCCUUUCACCAUCGACGCGGUAGAUGGAGAAGAAGCACCGGCUAACUACGUGCCAGCCGCCGCGGUAAUUC
rnacentral:rRNA from 1 species